UGCCAACCUGUGCUAGUUGCACUACUUGGU
rnacentral:piRNA from 1 species